rnacentral:tRNA from 1 species
GGGGAUAUAACUCAAUUGGUAGAGUGUAUGCUUUGCAAGCAUGAAGUUGAGAGUUCAAUUCUCUCUAUCUCCU